AUACGGAGGGUGCAAGCGUUAUUCGGAAUCACUGGGCGUAAAGGACGCGUAGGCGGGUUGGCAAGUCAGAUGUGAAAUCCUACAGCUUAGCUGUAGAACUGCAUUUGAAACUGCUAACCUAGAGUAUGGGAGGGGGGGAUGGAAUUAGUGGUGUAGGGGUAAAAUCCGUAGAUAUCACUAGGAAUACCGAAAGCGAAGGCGAUCUCCUGGAACAUAACUGACGCUAAGGCGUGAAAGCGUGGGGAGCAAACAGGAUUAGAUACCCUAGUAGUCC
rnacentral:rRNA from 1 species